rnacentral:rRNA from 1 species
GCGACGGGUGAGUAACCGUGGGCAAUCUGCCCUUCACUCUGGGACAAGCCCUGGAAACGGGGUCUAAUACCGGAUAACACCGGCUUCCGCAUGGGAGCUGGUUGAAAGCUCCGGCGGUGAAGGAUGAGCCCGCGGCCUAUCAGCUUGUUGGUGGGGUAAUGGCCUACCAAGGCGACGACGGGUAGCCGGCCUGAGAGGGCGACCGGCCACACUGGGACUGAGACACGGCCCAGACUCCUACGGGAGGCAGCAGUGGGGAAUAUUGCACAAUGGGCGAAAGCCUGAUGCAGCGACGCCGCGUGAGGGAUGACGGCCUUCGGGUUGUAAACCUCUUUCAGCAGGGAAGAAGCGAAAGUGACGGUACCUGCAGAAGAAGCGCCGGCUAACUACGUGCCAGCAGCC